rnacentral:rRNA from 1 species
CCAAUAGCGUAUAUUAAAGUUGUUGCAGUUAAAAAGCUCGUAGUUGAAUUUCGGGACCAAUAUGUCGGUCGUACUUUGUACGUACUAACAUUAUUGGUUUCUCCCUUCUGAAGAACCACGAUGUCAUUAAUUUGGUGUCGUGGGGAAUCAGGACUGUUACUUUGAAAAAAUUAGAGUGUUUAAAGCAGGCACGCGCUUGAAUACAUUAGCAUGGAAUAAU